rnacentral:rRNA from 1 species
AAGCGUACACGGUGGAUGCCCUGGCAGUCAGAGGCGAUGAAGGGCGUGCUAAUCUGCGAUAAGCGCCGGUAAGGUGAUAUGAACCGUUAUAACCGGCGAUACCCGAAUGGGGAAACCCAGUGUGACUUGUCACACUAUCAUUAACUGAAUCCAUAGGUUAAUGAGGCGAACCGGGGGAACUGAAACAUCUAAGUACCCCGAGGAAAAGAAAUCAACCGAGAUUCCCCCAGUAGCGGCGAGCGAACGGGGAGGAGC